UAAGGGAUUACAGGAUGUCAUAUUGAAUGA
rnacentral:piRNA from 1 species